UACAGAGGUCCCAAGCGUUGUUCGGAUUCACUGGGCGUAAAGGGUGCGCAGGUGGGUUUGCAAGUUCGAUGUGAAAGCCCCGGGCUUAACCCGGGAAUGGCAUUGGAUACUGCAGUCUGGAGGAUCGGAGGGGGGGACUGGAAUUCUUGGUGUAGCAGUGAAAUGCGUAGAUAUCAAGAGGAACACCAGUGGCGAAGGCGAGUCCCUGGACGAUACCUGACACUGAGGCACGAAAGCUAGGGGAGCAAACAGG
rnacentral:rRNA from 1 species